GACAGAGGGUGCAAACGUUGUUCGGAAUUACUGGGCGUAAAGCGCGUGUAGGCGGCCCUGCAAGUCGGAUGUGAAAUCCCACGGCUCAACCGUGGAAGUGCAUUCGAAACUGCAGGGCUAGAGUCCUGGAGAGGAAGGUGGAAUGCUUGGUGUAGAGGUGAAAUUCGUAGAUAUCAAGCGGAACACCGGUGGCGAAGGCGGCCUUCUGGACAGUGACUGACGCUGAGAUGCGAAAGCGUGGGGAGCAAACAGG
rnacentral:rRNA from 1 species